UGGGGAAUUGUUCGCAAUGGGCGAAAGCCUGACGACGCAACGCCGCGUGGAGGACGAAGAUCUUCGGGUCGUAAACUCCUUUCGAUCGGGAAGACUGGCUUCCGGGUUAACAGCCCGGAGGAAUGACGGUACCGAGAGAAGAAGCCCCGGCUAACUCUGUGCCAGCAGCCGCGGUAAUACAGGGGGGGCAAGCGUUGUUCGGAAUUACUGGGCGUAAAGGGCGCGUAGGCGGCGAUUUUAGUCAGGCGUGAAAGCCCUGGGCUCAACCUAGGAACUGCGUUUGAUACUGGAUCGCUUGAGUGUGGGAGAGGAUGGUGGAAUUCCCAGUGUAGAGGUGAAAUUCGUAGAUAUUGGGAAGAACACCGGUGGCGAAGGCGGCCAUCUGGACCACUACUGACGCUGAGGCGCGAAAGCGUGGGGAGCAAA
rnacentral:rRNA from 1 species